UAAGACUGCAUGUGAUUUAGGUAGUUUCAUGUUGUUGGGGCUCCAUUUUCAAUCCCUACAACACGAAAGUGCCUUAAUUGCUCCAGUUAAA
rnacentral:pre_miRNA from 1 species